rnacentral:rRNA from 1 species
UACGGAGGGUGCGAGCGUUGUCCGGAUUUAUUGGGCGUAAAGAGCGUGUAGGCGGCCGUACAGGUCAGCUGUGAAAACUCGAGGCUCAACCUCGAGACGUCGGUUGAAACCGUUUGGCUAGAGUCCGGAAGAGGAGAGUGGAAUUCCCGGUGUAGCGGUGAAAUGCGCAGAUAUCGGGAAGAACACCCGUGGCGAAGGCGGCUCUCUGGGACGGUACUGACGCUGAGACGCGAAAGCGUGGGGAGCAAACAGG